rnacentral:sRNA from 1 species
GAAGAUAAGCAGAGGAUUGUAGAACAGGCCGACGAAGCCGAAGACGAAGGCAAGGCCCUGGCCGAUCG